UUCAUUUCAAAAGUACAUCAUCUAUACUAGAAAGUACUGCAUAAGCAACAAAAGACCGAGGCCACCAUUUAAUAAGGAAUUCAGUUACUUCCCUAUCGAGUCGCAGAAGAUGAGUACUUGGUUUUUCUUUUACAUGAUUGUUUGCAGGUUGUUAUCAAUAUAGACCUUCAUGGAAAAUGAUAUGAAAGACAAUCAACACCUGCUGCUGGACAAUGGUACAAAGACUUUGAUGCAGAUUGAUGGUUGUCAUCCAAAAUCCAAAUCCAGCUACAUACAUGAUGAUCCAGAUUGGUGGUAACCACCAUUUUCAUGUCAUUGAGAGAAGAACCUCAUGGUUUUUUCAAAGUGUAAGAAUGUACUUCAUGCAUGCUAAGAUAGUUGAAAAUAUAUAUCAUGCUAAUAAAGUGUAAGAGUUGUUUGCUUUAAAAAUCAUGCUAUACUUUCACCUUUCAUCUCUGUAUCCAUAGCAAAAUUAGAAUAGCUAAAUGAACUCAACAAUGCAUCAUAAAUACAAGGUUGUUUCAUGUUU